AUCCUGGCUCAGAACGAACGCUGGCGGCGCGUCUUAAGCAUGCAAGUCGAGCGGCAGGGUUGCAGCAAUGUAAUCCGAGAGUCGGCGGACUGGUGAGUAACGCGUGGGUGACCUGCCUUGAGGUUGGGGAUAGCCCCUAGAAAUAGGGGGUAAUACCGAAUAUGGUUGCCGGGCUAUGGUCUGGCAAAGAAAGGGGCUAUGGCCCCGCCUUAAGAUGGGCCCGCGUCCUAUUAGGYAGUUGGWGUGGUAAAGGCWCACCAARCCUGAGAUAGGUAGCCGGCCUGAGAGGGUGAACGGCCACACUGGGACUGAGAUACGGCCCAGACUCCUACGGGAGGCAGCAGCUAAGAAUAUUCCGCAAUGGACGGAAGUCUGACGGAGCGACGCCGCGUGUAUGAUGGAGGCCGAAAGGUUGUAAAGUACUUUUGCGGAUGAGGAAUAAGGCGGGGAGGGAAUGCCCUGCUGAUGACGGUAGUCUGUGAAUAAGCCCCGGCUAAUUACGUGCCAGCAGCCGCGGUAACACGUAAGGGGCGAGCGUUGUUCGGAAGUUAUUGGGCGUAAAGGGCGCGUAGGCGGCCUGGUAAGUCUGGCGUGAAAGGCAGGGGCUUAACUUCUGGAUUGCGCUGGAAACUGCUGGGCUUGGGUCUGGAGGGGCAGCCGGAAUUCCUGGUGUAGGGGUGAAAUCUGUAGAUAUCAGGAAGAACACCGGUAGCGAAGGCGGGCUGCCAGCCUAAGACUGACGCUGAGGCGCGAAAGUGCGGGGAGCAAACAGGAUUAGAUACCCUGGUAGUCCGCACUAUAAACGAUGUGCACUAGGUGUUGGGGCGAGCGUCUCAGUGCCGGAGCGAACGCGAUAAGUGCACCGCCUGGGGAGUAUGCCCGCAA
rnacentral:rRNA from 1 species